rnacentral:rRNA from 1 species
CGCUAUGCAUGCAGUCGAACGGGCGAAGGGGCUUCGGCCCCCUAGCUAGUGGCAGACGGCUGAGUAAUACGUAAGUGAUCUACCCCGGAGAGGGGGAUAAGCCGAAGAAAUCCGGUCUAAUACCCCGUACGCUCCCUCUAUUACGGUAGAGAGAGGAAAGUUCCGGCGCUCUGGGAGGAGCUUGCGGCCUAUCAUGGUAGUUGGUGGGGUAAAAGCCUACCAAGCCGAAGACGGGUAACCGGUGUGAGAGCACGAUAGGUCAGAGGGGGACUGAGACACGGCCCCCACUCCUACGGGAGGCAGCAGCAGGGAAUCUUGCGCAAUGGGCGAAAGCCUGACGCAGCGACACCGCGUGGGGGAUGAAGGCUCUCGAGUUGUAAACCCCUUUUCUCGGGGAAGAGACAGGACGGUACCCGAGGAAUAAGGUUCGGCUAACUACGUGCCAGCAGCCGCGGUAAUACGUAGGAACCGAGCGUUGUCCGGAUUUACUGGGCGUAAAGUGCGCGUAGGCGGUUCGUUAAGUCUCAUGUGAAAUCUCCCGGCUCAACUGGGAGGGGUCAUGGGAUACUGGCAGACUUGAGUACAGCAGAGGGGAGUGGAAUUCCCGGAGUAGUGGUGGAAUGCGUAGAUACCGGGAGGAACACCAGAGGCGAAGGCGACUCCCUGGGCUGUGUCUGACGCUGAGGCGCGAAAGCGUGGGUAGCAAACCGGAUUAGAUACCCGGGUAGUCCACGCCCUAAACGAUGGAUACUAGGUAUGGGGGGGUAUCGACCCCCUCCGUGCCGCAGCUAACGCAUUAAGUAUCCCGCCUGAGGAGUACGGCCGCAAGGCUAAAACUCAAAGGAAUUGACGGGGACCCGCACAAGCAGCGGAUCGUGUGGUUUAAUUCGAUGAUAAGCGAAGAACCUUACCAGGGCUUGAAAUGCAUCCGACAGGCUGGGAAACCAGCCCUUCCUUCGGGACGGUUGC